AGAAUCAACGCUGGCGGCGUGCCUAACACAUGCAAGUCGAACGAGAAAGUGGGAGCAAUCCCACGAGUAAAGUGGCGCACGGGUGAGUAACACGUGACUAACCUACCCUUGAGUGGGGGAUAACCUAGGGAAACCUGGGCUAAUACCGCAUAAUACCUACGGGUCGAAAGGAGCAAUUCGCUUAAGGAGGGGUCGCGGCAGAUUAGUUAGUUGGCGGGGUAAUGGCCCACCAAGACAGUGAUCUGUA
rnacentral:rRNA from 1 species